AAUGUAUGUAAUUUAUAAGAGAGGUCAUUUUAAUCCUAGCCCUUCAAAGCCUCAGCCAUUCUCUGAAGAGAAGAAAUGGUACACAGAGAGGGGAAAUCCAGGAGAAAUGAUUCAAUUUAAAUGACAGGAAUAUUCACCAACUGCCUAGUGGUGUCAUGGGCUGCCCUGUGAGGUUGGAAAAGGUUGCCCAGACCGUGGAGUAGCAGUCCCAACCUUUUUCAUUAUAAUGACUUUUUGUUCAAAAAAUUGUGGCUCUUUACAUAUUAAUCAUUGAAUAGACACAUGACAAAAAGCUGAUUUGAACUAAGCAAUACUUUUAAAUAACCUUUCAUUGAAUUCCAAUAGUAUCUACUAUUGAGAGCCAUAGCCGAAGGGGCCCCAGCAAACUUCCAGCUGCCAGCUGAUUGGCUCCUCUGUAGUGAUGCCCAUUGGGCUGUUUCCCCACCCUUUCAGACCACGGAGCUGCUCAUUGGGGGAAUCUUUUGGCUCUGCCCACAUGACCCAGCCAAUCAGCCUCAAGAGCAGGAGGAGUGGGGGUUGAGAGGCUUCCCUGAAGCUGGUGGUGGCAGUUGGGCUCUGAGGGAAUUCCUGAAGAGCUUGUGUGGUGGGUGUGUGUUCUAAAAAUAAAGUUCGUUUCUGUUUGACAAGUGGCUCCUGAAUUGUUCCCAGCCAGACUGCGGCAUUCUACCUCCAUUUGCUUAGGAAACAUGUUUACUCCCUCCAAAGACAAUGUUUGAUGCAUCUGUGGGUUUGAGGAUCCUUUGUCGUCAAAAGGAGGUUCAUGGUCCACAGAUUAGGAAAUACAGGUGCAUAAUAAAUGCAUGUGGGGAGUAAGCAAAGGUUAGACUUGACAAACUUUCCAGUCCCAAAACUACAUGAAUUCAGUCAUUCACCUAUAACACAAUGAUGUGCCGGACAUUGUGUUAUUGGGCCUUGUGGUCCAGAUGAGGGUAAAUUCAAGAAAAUUGCUCAGUUUUUCUCUACUUCAGCCCCUGUGUCUUU
rnacentral:lncRNA from 1 species